UACGUAGGGUGCAAGCGUUAAUCGGAAUUACUGGGCGUAAAGCGUGCGCAGGCGGUUUUGUAAGUCUGUCGUGAAAGCCCCGGGCUCAACCUGGGAAUUGCGAUGGAGACUGCAAGGCUUGAAUCUGGCAGAGGGGGGGUAGAAUUCCACGUGUAGCAGUGAAAUGCGUAGAGAUGUGGAGGAACACCGAUGGCGAAGGCAGUGUCCUGGGGGAGUACCUGACGCUCAGGUGCGAAAGCCAGGGGAGCGAACGGG
rnacentral:rRNA from 1 species